AUGAACGCUAGCUACAGGCUUAACACAUGCAAGUCGAGGGGCAGCAUGGUCUUAGCUUGCUAAGGCCGAUGGCGACCGGCGCACGGGUGAGUAACACGUAUCCAACCUGCCGUCUACUCUUGGACAGCCUUCUGAAAGGAAGAUUAAUACAAGAUGGCAUCAUGAGUCCGCAUGUUCACAUGAUUAAAGGUAUUCCGGUAGACGAUGGGGAUGCGUUCCAUUAGAUAGUAGGCGGGGUAACGGCCCACCUAGUCUUCGAUGGAUAGGGGUUCUGAGAGGAAGGUCCCCCACAUUGGAACUGAGACACGGUCCAAACUCCUACGGGAGGCAGCAGUGAGGAAUAUUGGUCAAUGGGCGAGAGCCUGAACCAGCCAAGUAGCGUGAAGGAUGACUGCCCUAUGGGUUGUAAACUUCUUUUAUAAAGGAAUAAAGUCGGGUAUGCAUACCCGUUUGCAUGUACUUUAUGAAUAAGGAUCGGCUAACUCCGUGCCAGCAGCCGCGGUAAUACGGAGGAUCCGAGCGUUAUCCGGAUUUAUUGGGUUUAAAGGGAGCGUAGAUGGAUGUUUAAGUCAGUUGUGAAAGUUUGCGGCUCAACCGUAAAAUUGCAGUUGAUACUGGAUAUCUUGAGUGCAGUUGAGGCAGGCGGAAUUCGUGGUGUAGCGGUGAAAUGCUUAGAUAUCACGAAGAACUCCGAUUGCGAAGGCAGCCUGCUAAGCUGCAACUGACAUUGAGGCUCGAAAGUGUGGGUAUCAAACAGGAUUAGAUACCCUGGUAGUCCACACGGUAAACGAUGAAUACUCGCUGUUUGCGAUAUACAGCAAGCGGCCAAGCGAAAGCGUUAAGUAUUCCACCUGGGGAGUACGCCGGCAACGGUGAAACUCAAAGGAAUUGACGGGGGCCCGCACAAGCGGAGGAACAUGUGGUUUAAUUCGAUGAUACGCGAGGAACCUUACCCGGGUUUGAACGCAUUUCGACCGCUCUGGAAACAGAGCCUCUAGCAAUAGCGAUUUGCGAGGUGCUGCAUGGUUGUCGUCAGCUCGUGCCGUGAGGUGUCGGCUUAAGUGCCAUAACGAGCGCAACCCUUGUUGUCAGUUACUAACAGGUCAUGCUGAGGACUCUGACAAGACUGCCAUCGUAAGAUGUGAGGAAGGUGGGGAUGACGUCAAAUCAGCACGGCCCUUACGUCCGGGGCUACACACGUGUUACAAUGGGGGGUACAGAGGGCCGCUACCACGCGAGUGGAUGCCAAUCCCAAAAACCUCUCUCAGUUCGGACUGGAGUCUGCAACCCGACUCCACGAAGCUGGAUUCGCUAGUAAUCGCGCAUCAGCCACGGCGCGGUGAAUACGUUCCCGGGCCUUGUACACACCGCCCGUCAAGCCAUGGGAGCCGGGGGUACCUGAAGUGCGUAACCGCGAGGAGCGCCCUAGGGUAAAACUGGUGACUGGGGCU
rnacentral:rRNA from 1 species